rnacentral:rRNA from 1 species
GACGAACGCUGGCGGCGUGCUUAACACAUGCAAGUCGAACGGUGAAGCGCCUUCCUUUUUGGUGGGUGUGGAUGAGUGGCGAACGGGUGAGUAACACGUGAGUAACCUGCCCCCUUCUUCUGGAUAACCGCAUGAAAGUGUGGCUAAUACGGGAUAUUCUGGGUCUGUCGCAUGAUGGGUCUGGGAAAGAUAUUGUUUCGGUGGGGGAUGGGCUCGCGGCCUAUCAGCUUGUUGGUGGGGUGAUGGCCUACCAAGGCGGUGACGGGUAGCCGGCCUGGGAGGGUGGACGGUCACACUGGGACUGAGACACGGCCCAGGCUCCUACGGGAGGCAGCAGUGGGGAAUAUUGCACAAUGGGCGCAAGCCUGAUGCAGCGACGCCGCGUGCGGGAUGGAGGCCUUCGGGUUGUGAACCUCUUUCGCCAGUGAAGCAGGCCUGCCUCGUUUGUGGGUGGGUUGACGGUAGCUGGAGAAGAAGCGCCGGCUAACUACGUG